rfam:Candidatus Walczuchella monophlebidarum isolate FNIIJ chromosome, complete genome.
GCCGGUGUAGCUCAGUUGGCUAGAGCGCGUGAUUUGUAAUCUCGGGGGCGGGGGUUCGAAUCCCUUCACCGGCU